AAGAGAACAAAGAGGAGGACUACAGAGCUGAUGAGAGCUGAGAAGAGGAGAAAAUCAGGAAUGUUUGGAGGAACAUGUCGAAACGUUCAUGGCCAUCAACUACAGCUGUGCUACUCAGAGAUAAGGGUCAAAAAUAGAGUUCUCCUUUAAUGCAGAUACCCCAUGAUGAGGGUUACUUGGAAGUCCAUCCAGUCUCCAGGCAAUUCAUCUACUACUACGAUGAAUCAGAUUGUCAUAUAUUUAUCAGAAACCACCUAAAUUAGGCCUCUGGACAUCAUUCAGGUUAAACCACAGUGCGGGGCAGGUCCUAAACCUAUACGACAAAUAAUAAAGUUCAGCCCUUAUUCUGCAGUGACGUGCUACAUUACACCAACCAGGAUUAGAUGGAAAGAGUGGCUUGGUUCCUGUCUUCCUGCUGAUAUGACAGAAGACAACUGAGGUUUCUGCUAGGCCAUGUGCACCCGGUGAGUGACAGUUGAGAAUGAUCCAUAGGCGUCAUGCUAUAACUGGUAUGUGCAGGUAUGACACCUAUAAGGUGGUAGCUUAGUGUUUAACAUGUUGGACCUCCGAUCAGAAGGUCAUAAGUUCAAAUUUUAGCACCACCAAGCUGCCACUGUUGGACCUUGAGCACUUUAACUGCUUGGUUGUAUGAAUGAGAUAAAUGUAAGUUGCUCUGGAUAAGUGUGUCUGUCAAAUGCCAGAAAUGUAAAUAUGAAAACACUUGCAGCAUGUGGGCCAAAUGCUGUAACUGUAAACAAAACUAACCUACAGUAAGUAAAAAAAUUGCAUCACUUAAUGGAGUACAGAUGAUUGGCAAAUUAAAGGAUAUGAAUGUGUCAGGUCAUGUUCAAAGGAUAAAAUUGAACACGCUUCUGCCAAAAAAUAUUUCCUCAGAUGGUGUUUUGAUGGUUUUGAUUGACAAAUGGCUACAAAAUCUCCCGUAGAUGUUCAGUUGAGAUCUGCUGAGAGUAUAAAAUGUACAGUACAGACCAAAAGU